UUCGAAAAUUUGAUCCCGGAAAAUGUUUGACACCGAAAAUUACAAGUUAGGAUGGAUGUGAUAACCGAGGCAGGAACACCGCGCCAGUUUGACCUGAAACAAAAAAAACACCGGCGCCAAGGCCUGGAUUUGAAGACCCCUGACAAGUGUUUCAACUGUUGCGUACGACUCAAAAACAAUUGAACUGAAAGUGCAUUCAUAUGUGGCUAUUUAAGGGUGCAGCUGUGUGAGUGGAAUAAUUGCGAGACCGCUGAUGAGAAGAGCCUGACUUGGAGAACAUCAAGAUAUUUUAAAUAAGUCAGAAGCUUUCCAAGUGGUUUUCCUCUUUUUUUCUGUAAAGCUUUUACUUCUAUGAAAAGUUGCAAUUACUAUGUCAACUGCAAUAUUAGAAAAAAUCUCAAGCUAAUUAUUUACUCUUGCUCAGACAGUAAGUAAGAAGAUAACUGGUAGACAGCAACAUAAAAACAAUGUUGAUAUCUACAUAUUGGGGGAAUCCCAGGUUACAGAGUAACUGUUGCUUUUAUUGGAGGAGGUCUGAGGGGGAUUGACACAUGAUGUAGAGGUAGAGUAGACGCCCCAUGUACCAUGG